CAGCGCGUAGCUAAACACAGCUAAAGCAUCUCCCUUACACCGAGAAGGUAUCCGUGCAAACCGGAUCGCACUGA
rnacentral:tRNA from 2 species